rnacentral:rRNA from 1 species
GGCUUAACACAUGCAAGUCGAGCGGAAACGAUGAUAGCUUGCUAUCAGGCGUCGAGCGGCGGACGGGUGAGUAAUACUUAGGAAUCUACCUAGUAGUGGGGGAUAGCUCGGGGAAACUCGAAUUAAUACCGCAUACGUCCUACGGGAGAAAGCAGGGGAUCUUUGGACCUUGCGCUAUUAGAUGAGCCUAAGUCGGAUUAGCUAGAUGGUGGGGUAAAGGCCUACCAUGGCGACGAUCUGUAGCUGGUCUGAGAGGAUGAUCAGCCACACCGGGACUGAGACACGGCCCGGACUCCUACGGGAGGCAGCAGUGGGGAAUAUUGGACAAUGGGGGGAACCCUGAUCCAGCCAUGCCGCGUGUGUGAAGAAGGCCUUUUGGUUGUAAAGCACUUUAAGCAGUGAAGAAGACUCUUCGGUUAAUACCCGGGGACGAUGACAUUAGCUGCAGAAUAAGCACCGGCUAACUCUGUGCCAGCAGCCGCGGUAAUACAGAGGGUGCAAGCGUUAAUCGGAAUUACUGGGCGUAAAGCGAGCGUAGGUGGCUUGAUAAGUCAGAUGUGAAAUCCCCGGGCUUAACCUGGGAACUGCAUCUGAAACUGUUAGGCUAGAGUAGGUGAGAGGGAAGUAGAAUUUCAGGUGUAGCGGUGAAAUGCGUAGAGAUCUGAAGGAAUACCGAUGGCGAAGGCAGCUUCCUGGCAUCAUACUGACACUGAGGCUCGAAAGCGUGGGUAGCAAACAGGAUUAGAUACCCUGGUAGUCCACGCCGUAAACGAUGUCUACUAGUCG